rnacentral:rRNA from 1 species
UACGGAGGGUGCGAGCGUUGUCCGGAAUCACUGGGCGUAAAGGGCGCGUAGGCGGCGCGGAUAGUCGGCGGUGAAAGCCCGGAGCUCAACUCCGGGUCGGCCGUCGAUACUUCCGAGCUUGAGCACUGUAGAGGCAGAUGGAAUUCCGGGUGUAGCGGUGGAAUGCGUAGAGAUCCGGAAGAACACCGGUGGCGAAGGCGGUCUGCUGGGCCGAUACUGACGCUGAGGAGCGAAAGCGUGGGGAGCGAACAGG